GGUGAACGCUGGCGGCGUGCUUAAGACAUGCAAGUCGAACGGCAGUCUUCGGACUGUAGUGGCGCACGGGUGAGUAACGCGUAACUGACCUCCCCCAAAGUCGCGGAUAACGAUUCGAAAGAAUCGCUAAUACGUGAUGUGCUGUCAGAUUGUGUUCUGCCAGUAAAGAUUGAUUGCUUUGGGAUGGGGUUGCGUUCCAUCAGCUAGUUGGUGGGGUAAAGGCCCACCAAGGCGACGACGGAUAGCCGGCCUGAGAGGGUGGCCGGCCACAGGGGCACUGAGACACGGAUCCCACUCCUACGGGAGGCAGCAGUUAGGAAUCUUCCACAAUGGGCGAAAGCCUGAUGGAGCGACGCCGCGUGAGGGAUGAAGGUCUUCGGAUCGUAAACCUCUGAAUCAGGGACGAAAGACACUUCGGUGGGAUGACGGUACCUGAGUAAUAGCACCGGCUAACUCCGUGCCAGCCGCCGCAGUAACAC
rnacentral:rRNA from 1 species